rnacentral:rRNA from 1 species
AUGGUGACCACGCCGGAAACACCGCACAGCUCCAUGGGCACGAACGCCCGCGCCGUUGCCACCUUCACCAAAUGCAACCGGUACAAUGCGCUACAAUGCACAUCAAAACAAUCAAUCGCUCGCACCCAGCUCCAGACCGUCCAUGACGGCUACUAUGCGGCGGGCGCUGGUGGCCGGCGUCAGGCUGCAGGUGCUGUACUCGUGCAAUUCGCCGUGUUCGCCUCCAACCAAACAGCGCUCGUGCUCUCACCGGUCACCUCCGGCCUCAACACGCUCGGCUCCACCGUUAGCAUCUACUUCAUCGAGGUCAUCGGUGAAGUCGGCCUUCAUCUCAAUAAAGGCCCUAUUUGGAUCUCUAAGUUAGAGUUAGUUUUACUCAAAGCCAGCGACCGGGCUAGAGAAUUCCAACCUCCAAUCCAAAGCCUCGCCCUCUCCUCGUCUUCCUCCCAGCAAGUAGUAGUAGCCUCCGAUUCCCUCCUCCCGCCGCCUCCUCAGAUCUGCGCCGCCGCGCCGCCUCCCCGCCAAUCCGUCGUCCUCAUCCCCGCCGCCAGCCGAGGAGUGGCGGCCGCCGCUUGGCUUCUUCCGUCCGGGGCCGGCGCUAUCGGCGACGGAGGCUGCCGGGCUCUUUCCGGACCGGCAAAUGGUUCCGGAGCUGGGGCUUGGAGGCUUCCGGUUCCGUGUGGUCUGCUGAUUGGGCCCAGCCGGGGUACGGUUUCGCUCUGCCGGCUCGAAUUGGAGGUUCCGAGUUACGCUGAAUUUUGUUUCGUCAGAGGAGCUGAUUUGGUGAAGUUGUUUCAGGCGGCGACUGAUUCUUGGGGGAACCACAAGUUUGCUUCUUUUGAUGAUUUCCUCCGCGCUCAGUUUCAGAUUAUAGAGCGUUUCUGGAUGAAACGGAUAGAUUUUACUGGGAUCAGAUACCGAGCUUCUGUCUUGUGUGCCAGCACCCUUCCUCCGCCAGAAAACAGGACUUCUGCAGCUGCUUUAGGCUGUUAA